ACGCUGGCGGCGUGCCUAAUACAUGCAAGUCGAACGAGAGCGACCGGUGCUUGCACUGGUCAAUCUAGUGGCGAACGGGUGAGUAACACGUGGGUAACCUGCCCAUCAAAGGGGGAUAACAUUCGGAAACGGAUGCUAAAACCGCAUAGGUCCUUUAACCGCAUGGUUGAAGGAGGAAAAGAGGCGCAAGCUUCUGCUGAUGGAUGGACCCGCGGUGCAUUAGCUAGUUGGUGAGGUAACGGCUCACCAAGGCCGUGAUGCAUAGCCGACCUGAGAGGGUGAUCGGCCACAUUGGGACUGAAACACGGCCCAAACUCCUACGGGAGGCAGCAGUAGGGAAUCUUCCGCAAUGGACGCAAGUCUGACGGAGCAACGCCGCGUGAGUGAAGAAGGUUUUCGGAUCGUAAAACUCUGUUGUUAGAGAAGAACAAGUGCUAGAGUAACUGUUAGCGCCUUGACGGUAUCUAACCAGAAAGCCACGGCUAACUACGUGCCAGCAGCCGCGGUAAUACGUAGGUGGCAAGCGUUGUCCGGAUUUAUUGGGCGUAAAGCGAGCGCAGGCGGUUCCUUAAGUCUGAUGUGAAAGCCCCCGGCUCAACCGGGGAGGGUCAUUGGAAACUGGGGAACUUGAGUGCAGAAGAGGAGAGUGGAAUUCCAUGUGUAGCGGUGAAAUGCGUAGAUAUAUGGAGGAACACCAGUGGCGAAGGCGACUCUCUGGUCUGUAACUGACGCUGAGGCUCGAAAGCGUGGGUAGCAAACAGGAUUAGAUACCCUGGUAGUCCACGCCGUAAACGAUGAGUGCUAAGUGUUGGAGGGUUUCCGCCCUUCAGUGCUGCAGUUAACGCAUUAAGCACUCCGCCUGGGGAGUACGACCGCAAGGUUGAAACUCAAAGGAAUUGACGGGGACCC
rnacentral:rRNA from 1 species